rnacentral:rRNA from 1 species
UACGAAGGGGGCUAGCGUUACUCGGAUUGACUGGGCGUAAAGGGCGCGUAGGCGGCUUGUACAGUCAGACGUGAAAUUCCUGGGCUCAACCUGGGGGCUGCGUUUGAUACGUGCGGGCUUGAGUUCGGAAGAGGGUCGUGGAAUUCCCAGUGUAGAGGUGAAAUUCGUAGAUAUUGGGAAGAACACCGGUGGCGAAGGCGGCGACCUGGUCCGAUACUGACGCUGAGGCGCGAAGGCGUGGGGAGCAAACAGG